rnacentral:lncRNA from 1 species
GUCGACAGACACAGAUGUUUCCUUUUCUUCAUACAAUGAAGAUCAGGCUAAAGAGGCACCAUUCACCCCCAUUGGAAUGGCAGGUUUUGUAGCAAUUGUUGCAUAUGGACUACACAAAUUGAAGAGCAGGGGAAAUACUAAAAUAUUCCAUCAUCUGAUCCACAUGCGUGUGGAAGCCCUAGGCUUUGUUGUAGGAGCAAUGGCUGUUGUUGGUAUGGACUAUUCCAUGUAUCGGGAAUUCUAAGCAAAACCUGAGCCU